ensembl:lncRNA
UUUUUCUGGGGUUCUUUAUGUGCUUGAGGCCUUCUGAUGGCUGACUUCUAUCACAAGAUACAAAACAGAAGAAAAACUAUUUCAGAGCAAGUGCAAGUAGUAUGAUGACACAUCUUUCUUGGGUGAUGCUUCUGAUGUUAUCAGUAGGAAAAGCCUUCAAAGAAAAUGAGCAUCAAGCCUGAAACAUUACAUAAUGCCGAGUUGAAAGACAAAGUGUUUUCUGGAAUUCUAAAUUUUUUUAAGCAGCUGCCUUUAAAUGAACACAGCCAUCACUGUUAUAAAAUAUUCAAAGCCUCAUACAUAUCAAACAGACAGAGUUACUAGGGCAAACAAUCUCAUGUAUCAGUUAAACAAACAUUUGGAAUUUUUCCUAAGCCCGCUCUAGGUCCUUAAAAUGCUUCUAGUUUUAAUAGAUUCUAUCUAGU